rnacentral:rRNA from 1 species
UACGUAGGUGGCAAGCGUUGUCCGGAUUUAUUGGGUUUAAAGGGUGCGUAGGCGGCCUUGUAAGUCAGUGGUGAAAUACUCCAGCUUAACUGGAGGGGUGCCAAUGAUACUGCAGGGCUUGAGUACAGAUGAGGUAGGCGGAAUUGACGGUGUAGCGGUGAAAUGCUUAGAUAUCGUCAAGAACACCUAUAGCGAAGGCAGCUUACUAGGCUGUAACUGACGCUGAGGCACGAAAGUGUGGGGAUCAAACAGG